AUGCAAACAGAUCAUGAAAUGCUGCCUGCAAUAAAGGAAGAUUAUCUGGAUACUUUACAGCAGAAACUGCUGUCAGCAGGCUGCCCUCUUUCCUCUUUUCUACAGACUAAAGGUUAGAGGAGAUUAAGGUCAGCUGAGGAUCUUCUGUCAAAAUAUCUCCGCUCGUCAAAAGAUGCGGUAAGGUACCGUAGUUCUUCACAGCUUCAAAGCAUUACAUACACAAUACAGAUACAGAUGCGAAUAUUUGAAACGCUCGGGACCUCAUUCAUCAAACCAGGCACGUGGAAGAGAGGAAGGUGAUACGAGACAAGUAGCGCGGCUUCACUGAGUGCAGAUCCUGCUUGAACAAUCUACUGGCUUUUUUUUUUUUUCCAUGAUGGAGUAAACGGACCAGGGAAGAACCGCUGAUGUCAACUUUUUGAAUUCUGGUAAGGCUUUUGACACAGUCCCCCACAGUAUCCUUCUCUCUAAAUCCCUAAGAUAGGGAUCUAAUGGCUGGAUCAUUUGUUGAAUGAGGAAAGUGAAUCAAUGUCUGGAAGCGGAUCAAUCGUGAGUGAUGUCCCUCAAUGGUCAGUACUGGGACUCAACCUCUUGAAUGUGUUCAUCAGUAUUGUCAACAGUGGGAUCUAUCAUGCCCUCUGCAAGUUUGCAGAUGGCACCACGUUGUCUAAUGCGGUGAACAGGCUUGAGGGACAGUAUGUAAUCCAGGGAGACCUAGAGAGCCUCAAGCAGUGGGCCCUGUAGGACCUCAACAAAUCCAAUUGCAGGGUCCUGCACGUGGGUCCCCCAGGUUCAGCAAUUCCCACAGCGGAUGCGACCUGGGGGAUGGAAGGGUUGAGCACAGCCCUGCCCAAAAGGACUUUGGGGUACCGGUGGUUGGGAAGCUGGGCUUGAGUA